rnacentral:rRNA from 1 species
GACGAACGCUGGCGGCGUGCUUAACACAUGCAAGUCGAACGGAAAGGCCCUGCUUUUGUGGGGUGCUCGAGUGGCGAACGGGUGAGUAACACGUGAGUAACCUGCCCUUGACUUUGGGAUAACUUCAGGAAACUGGGGCUAAUACCGGAUAGGAGCUCCUGCUGCAUGGUGGGGGUUGGGGAGUUUCGGCGGUUGGGGAUGGACUCGCGGCUUAUCAGCUUGUUGGUGGGGUAGUGGCUUACCAAGGCUUUGACGGGUAGCCGGCCUGAGAGGGUGACCGGCCACAUUGGGACUGAGAUACGGCCCAGACUCCUACGGGAGGCAGCAGUGGGGAAUAUUGCACAAUGGGCGGAAGCCUGAUGCAGCAACGCCGCGUGCGGGAUGACGGCCUUCGGGUUGUAAACCGCUUUCGCCUGUGACGAAGCGUGAGUGACGGUAAUGGGUAAAGAAGCACCGGCUAACUACGUG